rnacentral:rRNA from 1 species
AAAUUAGUUAUACGGUAUAAAUAAUAGGCCUAUAGUUAAUAAAAGGUGAAAUUGUAAGUGUUAUUUUAUAGCAAAGAAGUAUUUAUGUGGGUAGGCUUAAGAGUCUAAGGGAUAAACUAGGAUUAGAUACCCUAUUAUACUAAGAUUUAAUUGUAAAAUACUAGAUUAUUAAUAGAUAUUUUCUUUAAAUUUAAAAAAUUUGGCGGUAAUUUAGUCUAGUUAGAGGAACCUGUUUUUUAAUCGAUAAACCACGUAAUAUCUUACUUAUUUUUGUAUAGAUUAGCUUGUAUACCAUCAUUAACAGAUAAUUUUAUAGGUAGAAUUAAAUUAUUAUAAAUAAUUAUAUUAUAAAAAUUAGAUCAAGGUGCAGCUUAUAAAUAAGUUAAAAUGGGUUACAAUAAAUUUUAUUUAUAAUGAAAUAAGAUAAAAAUUAAUAAGCUUAGGAAGGAGGAUUUAAUUGUAAUAUAGGUUUAAUAUGCC